GACAGAGGGGGCAAGCGUUGCUCGGAAUUACUGGGCGUAAAGGGCUCGUAGGCGGCCAACUAAGUCAUACGUGAAAUCCCUCAGCUUAACUGGGGAACUGCGUGUGAUACUGGAUGGCUUGGAUUUGGGAGAGGGAUGCGGAAUUCCUGGUGUAGCGGUGAAAUGCGCAGAUAUCAGGAGGAACACCGGUGGCGAAGGCGGUUCUCUGGGCAUGUCCUGACGCUGAGGAGCGAAAGUGUGGGGAGCGAACAGG
rnacentral:rRNA from 1 species